UUGGUCGCAGGUUCGAAUCCUGCACGACCCACCAAUUUCAGCAUUUAACUCAGAUGCUGAACGUGAAGGAUAACGUUGCGACAGCAACGGCCCGAAGGGCGAGGCGAAGUCGAGUCAUCCUGCACGACCCACCA
rnacentral:sRNA from 1 species